rnacentral:rRNA from 1 species
AUUACAGAGUUUUCUAAACUCCCAACCCUAUGUGAACUUACCUUUGUUGCUUCGGCGGCGGAGGCUACCCUAUAGGGGAUACCACCUAGUGGUUACCCUGUAGUCCCGGGUGCUGAUUCUUCCUCAACGUCUUAUCGUCAAAGGUCAGUUAACCUGGUGGCCCUCCCCGCCGGCGGCCAACUAAACUCUGUUUUUAUGGCAUUCUGAAUUAUAAACUUAAUAAGUUAAAACUUUCAACAACGGAUCUCUUGGUUCUGGCAUCGAUGAAGAACGCAGCGAAAUGCGAUAAGUAAUGUGAAUUGCAGAAUUCAGUGAAUCAUCGAAUCUUUGAACGCACAUUGCGCCCAUUAGCAUUCUAGUGGGCAUGCCUGUUCGAGCGUCAUUUCACCACUUAAGCCCUGUUGCUUAGCGUUGGGAGCCUACGGCACUGCCCGUAGCUCCCUAAAGUGAUUGGCGGAGUUGGUUCUCACUCUAGGCGUAGUAAAUCUAUCUCGCCUCUGUAGUGGUUCCGGCCCCUGCCGUAAAACCCCCUAUAUCAAAGGUUGACCUCG